GACGAACGCUGGCGGCGUGCUUAACACAUGCAAGUCGAACGGAAAGGCCCUGCUUUUGUGGGGUGCUCGAGUGGCGAACGGGUGAGUAACACGUGAGUAACCUGCCCUUGACUUUGGGAUAACUUCAGGAAACUGGGGCUAAUACCGGAUAGGAGCUCCUGCUGCAUGGUGGGGGUUGGAAAGUUUCGGCGGUUGGGGAUGGACUCGCGGCUUAUCAGCUUGUUGGUGGGGUAGUGGCUUACCAAGGCUUUGACGGGUAGCCGGCCUGAGAGGGUGACCGGCCACAUUGGGACUGAGAUACGGCCCAGACUCCUACGGGAGGCAGCAGUGGGGAAUAUUGCGCAAUGGGCGGAAGCCUGAUGCAGCAACCCCGCGUGCGGGAUGACGGCCUUCGGGUUGUAAACCGCUUUCGCCUGUGACGAAGCGUGAGUGACGGUAAUGGGUAAAGAAGCACCGGCUAACUACGUG
rnacentral:rRNA from 1 species